AGUGAACGCUGGCGGUAGGCCUAACACAUGCAAGUCGAACGGCAGCACAGUAAGAGCUUGCUCUUACGGGUGGCGAGUGGCGGACGGGUGAGGAAUACAUCGGAAUCUACUUUUUCGUGGGGGAUAACGUAGGGAAACUUACGCUAAUACCGCAUACGACCUACGGGUGAAAGCAGGGGAUCUUCGGACCUUGCGCGAUUGAAUGAGCCGAUGCCGGAUUAGCUAGUUGGCGGGGUAAAGGCCCACCAAGGCGACGAUCCGUAGCUGGUCUGAGAGGAUGAUCAGCCACACUGGAACUGAGACACGGUCCAGACUCCUACGGGAGGCAGCAGUGGGGAAUAUUGGGCAAAGGGCGCAAGCCUGAUCCAGCCAUACCGCGUGGGUGAAGAAGGCCUUCGGGUUGUAAAGCCCUUUUGUUGGGAAAGAAAAGCAGCAGGUUAAUACCCCGCUGUUCUGACGGUACCCAAAGAAUAAGCACCGGCUAACUUCGUG
rnacentral:rRNA from 1 species